rnacentral:rRNA from 1 species
GACGAACGCUGGCGGCGUGCUUAACACAUGCAAGUCGAGCGGAAAGGCCCUUCGGGGUACUCGAGCGGCGAACGGGUGAGUAACACGUGAGUAACCUGCCCCAGACUUUGGGAUAACCCUCGGAAACGGGGGCUAAUACCGGAUACGACACAGCUUCGCAUGGAGUCUGUGUGGAAAGUUUUUCGGUUUGGGAUGGGCUCGCGGCCUAUCAGCUUGUUGGUGGGGUGAUGGCCUACCAAGGCGACGACGGGUAGCCGGCCUGAGAGGGCGACCGGCCACACUGGGACUGAGACACGGCCCAGACUCCUACGGGAGGCAGCAGUGGGGAAUAUUGCACAAUGGGCGGAAGCCUGAUGCAGCGACGCCGCGUGAGGGAUGACGGCCUUCGGGUUGUAAACCUCUUUCAGCAGGGACGAAGCGUAAGUGACGGUACCUGCAGAAGAAGCGCCGGCCAACUACGUG